CGGACGGGUGAGUAAUGCCUAGGAAUCUGCCUGGUAGUGGGGGACAACGUUUCGAAAGGAACGCUAAUACCGCAUACGUCCUACGGGAGAAAGCAGGGGACCUUCGGGCCUUGCGCUAUCAGAUGAGCCUAGGUCGGAUUAGCUAGUUGGUGAGGUAAUGGCUCACCAAGGCGACGAUCCGUAACUGGUCUGAGAGGAUGAUCAGUCACACUGGAACUGAGACACGGUCCAGACUCCUACGGGAGGCAGCAG
rnacentral:rRNA from 1 species